UAAUAGUGACAGAAUACUGAUAUUCAGUUGGAUACAUCCAUUGUCAUAUUUCUCCAUCGACUUCAUGCUUCUAGGUUUCCACGACAUGAAGCAAUGCGAGGAAUUAUGUUGACCAGCAGAGAAGGAACCUGCCCCAUGACUGCAUCCAGCAUCAAAAUGAAACCAACUAGCAAGCGUUCAACUGAAUACAUGACAAAACUAAAGCGAGGAGAGUUGAUGCAGUGACUGGAGGGUGUUGUACAAAGGGCACAGCAUAAGGUGUGGAGCUGAAGCAUGAGUGCAGUCUAAUAACAGAUACAGUUUCUUGAGUAUAGAGAAACCCAAAACACACACUUGGAGUGAAGCCAGCAUCACAAUGAG